UCUCGUUCCAGACUGCAUCGGCUCUGUCAAGCAUCAACGAGGAAAGGGAGGCAUUAGUGGACCCUGGAGAGGAGCGGGAUGAGGUGAUAAGAACAUCACAGGGAAUCCGCCUCAUUUAAUGCUACACACUGCUGAAAGUUGGGCUUUUCAUCUAAACAAGAGUGUAAUGACUGUGCCUUCGCUGGAAAGCCGGAUCUUCACACUACACCAGGAGGAUGGUUCCAUAUGCAGCCACACCACUCAUGAAAACUGCGACUGUCUGCUUUAAUAGCAGCCCACUCAGAUCCUCGGGGGCGGGCUCCUGUCAUUCAGGCAUUGAACGGACAUUAUUGAGGAAGGUAAUUGGCAGGGAGCCUCACCUCUGGAGGGUUCCCUUGGCUUCAGCGAUCUUUCAGAGGACUGCGGGACUCUGCCAUUAAUCAGUGUGGGGAUAAGAGAAAGGAGGGAUAUGCCAGUGUCGGCACAGACCCUUACCUUUCCUUCCCCGUGACAGAAAAAUCCUUACCUAAUCAAACUGCCCACUCUAAUCUACACUUAGAAUCUUCAAGGAUGUGGCAGCACACAAAAGAAGGAUCACUCUCUCUGCUUAAAUAGCCAUUCCUUCUUAGUGGAUAUAAUAAUAAAGACACAGUAUUGCAAGGUUUAGACUGUCUUCUAUGCCAGAUUUUGAAUUUGUCAGAUUUAUUUUCUCACAAGAAGUUUGUUUUGUGUAUUAAGAAGUUACUGUUGGAAUAGGUUUGAGGCAAGUUUGUCAUAUUGAGAUCUGGCUUUAUGUAAUGGGGCUGAGUGCCAGUGCCAGUGCUAGGCAAUAAUGUAGGCACUCAUAGUAAGGAAAAAACUAAAGUCAAGCUGUUCCUUGUCUGUGUGGUUGUACGUUGUAUAUUCAUAUACCAGCUCAGUUUCCUCAGGACCACAUUGGAAAAUUUCAUCCCUCAUGGUUUAUGUCCAGUGUCAAUGUUCAGUGGCCUUUAUGUAAUGAGGUGUUGAGUUGGUGGAUGUCUGUGACGAGGAAGCACGAGACCACACUUUCUGUUGAAAGACCUGCAAUUAAAGUUCCCCUUUUUAAUUAA